AGUUCCUUAGUGUAGUGGUUUAUCACAUCUCCUUUACAGCAUCUUCAACAUACGCGGAGAAGGUCAUGGGUUCGAUCCCCAUAGGAACUA